GGGCCGGUGGCGGAAUCGGCAGACGCUAGGGACUUAAAAUCCCUUCCCGCUUCAGCGGGGUGCGGGUUCGAAUCCCGCCCGGCCCA
rnacentral:tRNA from 1 species